GGCCAUACCAUGCUGAAUAUACCAGUUCUCGUUAGAUCACCGAAGUCAAGCAUCAUUGGGCGCGGUCACCACCUGGGAACACCGCGUGCCGUU